UCUUAUCCAGAGAGGUGGAGGGAACGGCCCUGUGAAGCCCGGCAACCGGUUCCCCGAUUAGUGGGGGAUAACGGUGCCAACGCCGACUCCCGCCUGAGGCGGGAGGACGAUAAG
rnacentral:ncRNA from 1 species